CCCUUAGAUGUUCUGGGCCGCACGCGUGCUACACUGAGUGGAUCAGCGGGUCAGGUUGCGCGAAAGUGUUUCCUAAUCUUGAAAUCCGCUCGUGAUGGGGAUUGACGGUUGCAAUUUUCCGUCAUGAACGAGGAAUACCUUGUAAGCGCGGGUCAUCAUCCCGCGCUGAAUACGUCCCUGCCCUUUGUACACACCGCCCGUCGCUCCUACCGAUUGGAUGGUCCGGUGAACUUUUUGGACUUGUAGCAAUGUUAUGAGAAAGUUAAGUAAACCUUAUCAUUUAGAGGAAGGAAAAGUCGUAACA
rnacentral:rRNA from 1 species